UACGUAGGGUCCGAGCGUUGUCCGGAAUUACUGGGCGUAAAGAGCUCGUAGGCGGUUUGUCGCGUCUGCCGUGAAAGUCCGGGGCUCAACUCCGGAUCUGCGGUGGGUACGGGCAGACUAGAGUGAUGUAGGGGAGACUGGAAUUCCUGGUGUAGCGGUGAAAUGCGCAGAUAUCAGGAGGAACACCGAUGGCGAAGGCAGGUCUCUGGGCAUUAACUGACGCUGGAGGAGCGAAAGCAUGGGGAGCGAACAGG
rnacentral:rRNA from 1 species